GGACCCUGGGCAGCAUCUCCUCUGGCUGCCUUUGGCUGGCUUCCAGCCUUGGCUGCUUCCUCUCCACACACUCGAUGCCCCUGCAGCUUUGAAGCCAGAUUUGCCAGCACCCAUCUGAGCCCCACGAGUGGGAGAGCAGCUUCUCAGGACCCAGACGACUGCCCUUGGCUUACUCAUGGCAUAGGGUGUUGGAGGAAGAGGAGGAACUGCAGAGGGUGAAAGCUCAGUGCAGAUCACUCCGGGAAGUCUCGAUCUGACUCGAGGGGAAGUCCAGAGCAGCCUCCAGAAGCAUCAUUGUGAGGCACAGCUGUGAGGCUGCUUAACAAACUGGAUGGAAGUGUCACUGCCACUGCUGCUGAAGGGAGUGAGAGACACACCACAAGGAGCACAGCAGAGGGAGGAGGCUGCACAGUGGAAGGAGUAGCUACAACCUGAAUUGUAGCCAUGUGGAUGUCUGCCUCAGCCUGCACAAGAAGCUUCUGACAGUCUGUAAAUGCUCCUAGGGCUUUUUCCAAUGCUCCCUUCUCCAGCUGCUGGCCUCUUUUUUAAGGCAGCCUGCACGACUGUACCAUGGAAGCUUCCCCCGUGGAUG